CAUCUGCGCACGCGCCCUGCCAGAGGCGCGGGGAAGAGAUCCGUGGUUGGCUCACAAGUAAGAAAGUAAGCAAAAAAAAAGGUGUUUAAAGUGUGCAGCAGCUCUUUGCAUGAAGAAAACAUGAGAGAUUGGAAGCUCGUAAUUUGAGUUCGUUGGUGCAGAACUGCAGAAACACAGCUAAUCAUUUAUUAAGACCGCCUUGACGUUUCCCUCAGCUCAGUGAAAACAACUGGUUACCCAAAGUCCCACCUGAUGCCCUGACACACACCUCACUGGAGAGAGAAGCAUGUAGAAAACUUCUCAGGAAAACAUCAAAGAGGAAUUCAUGAGUCCUUGAAAAGCUAAACUAUUUCAUGGAUCCUAGGAGGAUAAAUGGGAACUUUGACAAGAAUGGAGAAUGUGGUACUUCAAAGGUGUAAGUACAAUUGCUUUGCUACUCUGUUCAGCUUCUCCUGUUAAGAAAACUGCCUCAGCUUCUGAUUAACAGUAAGCUUUUCUAGUAAAUCCAUUGCUUUAACUGGAGAAUACACCAAAGCAAGGGAAUUCAGGAUUUUACGGGGGCAUUCAGUACAUCACUUCAGUGCUCGAAUACACUAUUGCUUUAUGUCUCCCAUGGAUGAGACAAAAUCAGGAGGAUAUUCAGUGCCUCUAAAAUCAAAAGGCAAGGGGCAUCUUUUCUAAUCAUGGAGCUUCUGGGAAGAAUAACGAAAGAGUGGGUUUUCAUCUUCCUCUACUACCCAGAUGACUUUAUUAACUCAAGUCUUUGGAUUCCAAGUCAAGAGCUCUGUGGUAACCAGCCUUAAAAAUUGCCCCUGAUGCCUCCUGAUAUCCAACCCCUUUCUGUUAAAUGACUAGGGUUAGGUUAUUUGAUGAAUCAGAUAUGGCAGAAGCAAUGGGAUAUCACUUCUGAGCUUAAGUUAUAAGACAGCUUCCGAUUUGGAUUCUCUCUCUCUCUCUCUCUCUCUCUCCCUCCCUCUCCCCCCCUGCCCCCGCUUCCCUCCCUCCCUCUCUCUCUCUCUCUUUCUCUCCCCUUUUCUGUCUCUAUCUUAUCGCCUGAUUUGGGGGAAGACUUAUGGAGAGUCCCUCAUGGUGAGGAACUGAAACCUUUUACUAAUAUACUAAUAACCAUGUGAGUGAGCUUGGAAAGAGAUUCUCCAGGCCCCAUGAAUCCAUAGAGAUGCAGACCAGCCAGCCAACAGCUUGACUGCAACCUCGAGAGAGACUCUGAGCCAAAAACACAUGGCUAAGGAUUCCUGACCCUCAGAAACUAUGACAUAAUAAGUUUUUUGUCUUAAGCCACUAAAUUUUGCAGCAAUAGAUAGUGUAGGCUCUUUCCGUCUACACUAGGACACACCUUUUCAUUUGUGAAAUGAUUUUUUUAAAAAAUAAGUGAUGUCAAAAAUUCUUUCACUUUAUGAAUGUCACUGAUUGAGUGGAGCCACACCCUUUCAGUAACCAUGAUCCAGGAGAUUUAAAAGAAAAGGUUCUCUUCUUGUUUUCAGAGUUUUAGUUGUCUUAUUUAUUUAGUUCAUGGUGUCUGGCACACAUGGCAGGCACUAAAGUUAGGGAAUAUCUCUAUAAAAAUUGUAAAGGUCUACAUUCUGCAAUUAUGCAUAUUUAUUAUCAUUCUUCGAGUAAUUCUUCUUGCACUAGUCUAUAUGUAUAAGUUGAAGAUAAUAAUAGUACUGGAUUGUUGGAGAGAUAAAAUGAGUAAAUAUAUGUAAAUUACUUCAGUGUCUGAAAUUUUUAUAAUUACUAUACAUGUUCCCCUUCCUGUGUUAUCUCCUUCUCUUCAUCCUGACAAAUAGGGAUAUUAUUAAAGAGACCUCAACCUGUAACUGUGAUCCUCACUUCUAAUCCAGAGUAUAUUGGCCAAGAAUGUGUUCCCCUGAAUGCCUAUCAUGAUCUUGCUUCUUAAGAUAUUCAGCUGAACACGCAAGAUUUUGGGCCUGUCCUUUGGCCAAGAUCAAUUUAUUAGAAAAUAUUCAAAUUUAAAUAUAGCCUACCUAUUAACUAAGAUCAUUUAAAAAGCAUUUUAACCACAAAAAGGAAAUGUCAAUAAUUGUCAGUCCUUUUAUGAGAAAAGGAAGCACUGGUUGAUUUAAGGUGUACAGUGUCGAUUAACCCAAAAGAGUGAUAGAAAAGAAACAUUAGCAAACUAGAUUUGAAUGCAGACUCUGCCAUGUAAGAAAGAAGUCCAGAAUAUACCUUCAGUACACAUUUUGGCUUAAUAUAUAUCCUUUUUUAAAAAAAUAGAUUUUUCUUAUUGUAAAAAUUACUUUAACAGUACUUUAACAUUACAAUAAUUUAAUCAGAAAGAAUUAAGGAAGUAAAGUUAUAAAGGAACUAAAAAGUCAUACAAAUCCCUAUAUUGAACUUGGAAAUAAUCUUCCUAGUGCUUGGUCUGUACAUAUGUUAUAUUUCAUCCAAUCUAAGGUACCAUCAAUUGUAGGAUGCUCCAUUAUGUUAUGAUCCAUUAAGAAAGAAAAAGAUAUACACUGCCAAUUAAAACUAUGAUAAAAUGCUUGCCUAUGACAUAUUGUGUUUAUUUUUAUGUAUUGAAAGGGCUUAUUUAGACAUUUUAGCAAGUACUUUAAUCAUAUAUCACACUUGUACAUGCAGAAAAAAGAAAAUAUGAGCAAAACAAAUUGGUUAAGAUACUCCUAAACUGUCUUACAUGAAAUUGUAUCUUUUAUUUUUUUUGUCUCAGAGUGGUCAAUAUACAUGUUUUUCCACAUUAUAUCUGUUGCAACUUCAAAAGUAUAGAUUAUGCAGUGUUUCUUAAAACUUUUCUAUUAUCUUCUCUGAGAUUUUCCUUUAAGCUACUGACACUCAUUCUGCAAAAUUUGAUGCACAUACACAGGCAAUUGUAAAUAAGUCAGUUUUGCUAUCGCAUCAAAAAAAUAACAAGAUCCAUUCUAAUAUCAGAGAUUUUAGGACAAAAAAAUAAUGAAUCAGUUAGUGUCCAGUCAGGAAACAGAACUAAUGCCAAGAAAUUCAGUAGAAAGAAUUUAAUACAGAACUGACCAAGAUGGCAGAGUAGAAGGACGUGCUGUCACUCCCCCUUCUGAGAACA